CCUCCUGCUCUUUGCUCCAUGAGAAAGAUCCACCUACGACCUCAGGUCCUCAGACCGACCAGCCCAAGGAACAUCUCACCAAUUUUAAAUCUGAUCGUCUCUGCUUAGCAGCUGAAGAGUGACACUGCCUGAUUGCCUCGGAAGCCUACAGGACCAUCACAGAUGCUCUGAGUAACUCUUACAGUGGAGGGGUGGGGCCAUGUGCCCCAUGGGAAUCUGAGUUCAGAUGCAGUUUCUUCUCCUGGGAGAAAAGAUGAAUGAGAGGCUGAUUCUAGCUGGCUCCUAGCCUGUGAAUUCACAUCAUGGGGAACCUGCUACUCUGUCUGGAGUCUGUAACAGGAGGGCUGAAAGCUGUGGUUGGUGUGCUUCCAGAAGAAUAUAGAAAUAUCG